rnacentral:rRNA from 1 species
CGAAGCUGGAAUCGCUAGUAAUCGUGAAUCAGAAUGUCACGGUGAAUACGUUCCCGGGUCUUGUACACACCGCCCGUCACACCAUGGGAGUCAGCAACGCCCGAAGUCAGUGACCUAACCGAGAGGGAGGAGCUGCCGAAGGCGGGGCCGGUAACUGGGGUGAAGUCGUAACAAGGUAAC